GUGGCUCUGUAAUGGCUUGUCUGCAGUACCCUGGUUAGACACCAGGUGGCUCUGUAAUGGCUUGUCCUCACUGCAGUACCCUGGUUAGACACCAGGUGGCCGUGUUUGACCGGGGAGUUUCUGUCUGGUUUCCCCAUGGUAGGUAGCCAUGUUGGUAGAGAAGCUGAUUGGCUGGCUGAUUAAACGAACAGUGUUGUUGGGAAUAGUAACAAUGCUUCUGGAUAUAUUGAAGACCGUCAGCAACAUGCUCAUUAAUACGUUUCUUUUGAUAAAACAACUUCGUAGUUGAA